UUAAAGACAAUGAAGAAGAGGAGUAGGCAUUUAAACCUCAAGAGAGCAGGAUUCACUGGCUGGAAGGUCCUGCAGGUAAAUGGAUGUUGAAGGUAGCUUUGGAGUCGGCAGUCUGAGCUCAGUAGGAUUGCCCGGUGGGAGCCGUUAAAUUAUUCAAGAGCCAUAUGGAAAAAAGGUGGUACCGCGGGUUUUCUCGUCCUUUGA
rnacentral:ncRNA from 1 species